rnacentral:rRNA from 1 species
UACAGAGGUCUCAAGCGUUGUUCGGAUUCAUUGGGCGUAAAGGGUGCGUAGGCGGCGCGGUAAGUCGGGUGUGAAAUCUCGGAGCUUAACUCCGAAACUGCAUUCGAUACUGCCGUGCUUGAGGACUGGAGAGGAGACUGGAAUUUACGGUGUAGCGGUGAAAUGCGUAGAUAUCGUAAGGAAGACCAGUGGCGAAGGCGGGUCUCUGGACAGUUCCUGACGCUGAGGCGCGAAAGCUAGGGUAGCAAACAGG